rnacentral:rRNA from 1 species
GUUGAACGCUGGCGGCGUGCCUAAUACAUGCAAGUCGAGCGAAGCGUGCACGGGGGUGUAACAUGUCGAUAACCUCCUAUAAGACUGGGAUAACUUCGGGAAACCGGAGCCAAACCCGAAACUUAUACCUGGAUCCGCACUGCAUUAGCUAGUUGGUAAGCUAACGGCUUACCAAGGCGACGAUGCAUAGCCGGCCUGAGAGGGUGAUCGGCCACACUGGAACUGAGACACGGUCCAGACUCCUACGGGAGGCAGCAGUGGGGAAUCUUCCGCAAUGGGCGAAAGCCUGACGGAGCCACGCCGCGUGAGUGAUGAAGGUCUUCGGAUUGUAAAACACUGUUAGUAGGGAAGCGGUACCUAAUCAAAAAGCCACGGCUAACUCCGUGCCAGCAGCCGCGGUAAUAC